rnacentral:rRNA from 1 species
GCCUUUAGAGCGGCCCGCGUCUGAUUAGCUAGUUGGUGAGGUAAAGGCUCACCAAGGCGACGAUCAGUAGCUGGUCUGAGAGGAUGAUCAGCCACAUUGGGACUGAGACACGGCCCAAACUCCUACGGGAGGCAGCAGUGGGGAAUCUUGCGCAAUGGGCGAAAGCCUGACGCAGCCAUGCCGCGUGAAUGAUGAAGGUCUUAGGAUUGUAAAAUUCUUUCACCGGGGACGAUAAUGACGGUACCCGGAGAAGAAGCCCCGGCUAACUUCGUGCCAGCAGCCGCGGUAAUACGAAGGGGGCUAGCGUUGCUCGGAAUUACUGGGCGUAAAGGGAGCGUAGGCGGACAUUUAAGUCAGGGGUGAAAUCCCGGGGCUCAACCUCGGAAUUGCCUUUGAUACUGGGUGUCUUGAGUAUGAGAGAGGUGUGUGGAACUCCGAGUGUAGAGGUGAAAUUCGUAGAUAUUCGGAAGAACACCAGUGGCGAAGGCGACACACUGGCUCAUUACUGACGCUGAGGCUCGAAAGCGUGGGGAGCAAACAGGAUUAGAUACCCUGGUAGUCCACGCCGUAAACGAUGAUUGCUAGUUGUCGGGAUGCAUGCAUUUCGGUGACGCAGCUAACG